UGACAAAUGGCAGUAAUGAACUAAACAC
rnacentral:piRNA from 1 species